rnacentral:rRNA from 1 species
GAUGAACGCUAGCGGCAGGCUUAACACAUGCAAGUCGAGGGGUAGAGGCUUUCGGGCCUUGAGACCGGCGCACGGGUGCGUAACGCGUAUGCAAUCUGCCUUGUACUGGGGGAUAGCCCAGAGAAAUUUGGAUUAAUACCCCAUAGUAUUUUCGGUUGGCAUCAACUGAUUAUUAAAGUUUUUCGGUACAAGAUGAGCAUGCGUCCCAUUAGCUAGUUGGUAUGGUAACGGCAUACCAAGGCUACGAUGGGUCGGGGUCCUAAGAGGGAGAUCCCAACCGCUAGUACUGCAACACGGACCAGAAUCCUACUGGAGGCAACAGUGUGGAAUAUUGCUCAAUGGUCGCAAGACUGAACCAGCCAUGCCGCGUGCAGAAUGAGGCAUCUAUGGUGUGUAAACUGCUUUUGUACGGGAAGAAACACUGCUACCUGUAGCAGCUUGACGGUACCGUAAGAAUAAGGAUCGGCUAACUCCGUGCCAGCCGCCGCGGUAACAC